rnacentral:rRNA from 1 species
GACGAACGCUGGCGGCGUGCUUAACACGUACAAGUCGAACGAAGAGCGAUCGAAGCUUGCUUCUAUCAAUCUUAGUGGCGAACGGGUGAGUAACGCGUAAUCAACCUGCCCUUCAGAGGGGGACAACAGUUGGAAACGACUGCUAAUACCGCAUACGAUCUAACCUCGGCAUCGAGGAUAGAUGAAAGGUGGCCUCUACAUGUAAGCUAUCACUGAAGGAGGGGAUUGCGUCUGAUUAGCUAGUUGGAGGGGUAACGGCCCACCAAGGCGAUGAUCAGUAGCCGGUCUGAGAGGAUGAACGGCCACAUUGGGACUGAGACACGGCCCAGACUCCUACGGGAGGCAGCAGUGGGGAAUCUUCCGCAAUGGACGAAAGUCUGACGGAGCAACGCCGCGUGAGUGAUGACGGCCUUCGGGUUGUAAAGCUCUGUUAAUCGGGACGAAAGGCCUUCUUGCGAAUAGUUAGAAGGAUUGACGGUACCGGAAUAGAAAGCCACGGCUAACUACGUG